GUGCUACAAAUUGCAUAAAGAUGU
rnacentral:siRNA from 1 species